rnacentral:lncRNA from 1 species
GUUUUAUCUUUCUCCAAAUUCAAAUCAAAGUCUUCCUUUAUCUCUUUCUGGUAUUCUGUAAUCGAUCCCACCAUAUAGCUGCUGCAGAUUUCAAAUUGAACGUCACCAUCUUAGCCAUCUUGUCCUCUUAAAAAUUAUUAAUUUUGAAGAAUCUUUCAGCCUCUUCCAACCAGUCCAAAAACUCUUCGAUCUUCAUGUUACCAAAGAACGAGGGAAUGUCUACUUUCAUCUAAUAAUCAUCAAAGAUAUUUUGAUUUUGAUGUUUAGGGUUAUGUGACGGUGCUUCAAACUCCUCAUCUGACUUCAACUCGAUAUUUUCUACUACAUGUCUCCUAUUAUUUCCUCCCCAAUCUAUAGGCUCAAUGAUCCGUUCAUUGUUGAUUGCAUGUUGUUCAUUCUGCCAUUAUUUCCAACACCCUGCUACAAUAGUUGAUGAAUCUCUUUGAUCUUAGUAAGAUCGCUAAUUCAUUAAUUUUGAGUGUCUAGAUUUACUCUGGUAAUUAGUAAUUAGUAUGUCAUCCAUGGUUAUAAACAAAGAUAUAAAGAUGGGAAAGCCAGCUCUAUACCACUUUAUCAAUAUUUGAAAAUAUAUAAGGUUUUCCAUUCAUAGAUCUAUGGAUAGCAAUCUAGUUAUAUUGACGAGCAUUUUCAAACUUUCACGUCACUAUAUGAAAUAACAAUGUAUAAUUCAAAUUAAAACCUGACAAUUAAAUUAAUGCAAAUCCACCACGCAAUUCCUCAACUUCUAUUCUUGUGUCUAUAUUUCUCUAACUUUUUCUCUCUUUAAUUAUUUAUCAACAAAUCACUGUACAUGAUCAAAUCCAUUAAAUGACUAUACUUUCUUAAAAUUACUACCUUAUACAUAUACAACCCCUAUACAUGAUUUAAUCCAAUAUCUAGAAUUCAAUAUUUAUCCUUUAGUUUCAUUCAAACUUGUAAAAUCUGAGAAAACAAAGGUUUGACAAGAACGACAUUAACAUCUCGGGAAUAGCACUUUUUGAGAUUAAUUUCAAAAAUAGCACCUGUACUUAGAAUUACUUUAAAAACGGAGAAAUCAAAACUCAAAUCCUUAAUUUAAGUGUUUGACAUCACACACAUGACAAUCAAAAAAAUACAUCUUUAUCUCGCAAACCCAUUCAAAAUUUCACUUUCUUCCACACGAAUUUUCAAAUACACAUUUCUUUGCUAUAUUCUUAAUUACAACCUCAAAUACAUAUCAAUAACACCUAAUUCCUGCUAAACUUUGAUUUAAAGCAAUAUUUUCAUAAACCCUAAAAAAAUUUCAAAGUAACAUACAUUUUAUUUACCUCUUGAAAAUAAGAAGAAUUAGGAAUGAUAACCCUGAGCUUAAAAACCGACAACUAUUCCUUCAUUUUUUUUAUUUUUUUAUUUUUUGCUUUUCUCUUUCCCUUUUUCUCCCUCUCUGCUUCAUUUUCUUUUCUUUCU